AAAAACUCCUAGGUCCUUUUCCAUGUCAGUGUUAUCCAGUCUUUUACUAUUUAGUAUGUACGGGUGACUUGCAUUAUUCCUUCCCUUAUGCAUAACCUUAUAUUUAUCAGUUUUAAACCCCAUCUGCCACUUAUGUGCCCAAGCCUCCAA